rnacentral:rRNA from 1 species
CUGCUGCCUCCCGUAGGAGUUUGGGCCGUGUCUCAGUCCCAAUGUGGCCGUUCACCCUCUCAGGCCGGCUACUGAUCGUCGCCUUGGUGGGCCGUUACCCCUCCAACCAGCUAAUCAGACGCGGGUCCAUCCUGUACCACCGGAGUUUUUCACACUGUACCAUGCGGUACUGUGCGCUUAUGCGGUUUUAGCACCUAUUUCUAAGUGUUAUCCCCCAGUGUAAGGCAGGUUACCCACGCGUUACUCACCCGUCCGCCACUAAGAUUUUA